UACGUAGGGUGCAAGCGUUGUCCGGAAUUAUUGGGCGUAAAGAGCUCGUAGGCGGUUUGUUGCGUCGGGAGUGAAAACCAGGUGCUUAACACCUGGCCUGCUUUCGAUACGGGCAGACUAGAGGCAUUCAGGGGAGAACGGAAUUCCUGGUGUAGCGGUGAAAUGCGCAGAUAUCAGGAGGAACACCGGUGGCGAAGGCGGUUCUCUGGGAAUGUUCUGACGCUGAGGAGCGAAAGUGUGGGGAGCGAACAGG
rnacentral:rRNA from 1 species